UUUUGAGCUAUAACUGCAAGCCCUGUUUAUUGCAUUUGAACAAAGCUCAUCUUUGAAGCUCCCUUAGUAAUAUUGAAAAUCGCUUUAGAAAGUUCGAAGUUAAUAAUUUGGUAGCCAUUAUAAGAAUGUGGUCUAAGUUAUGGAUUGGUGGCGAAUUAAGUGGGUGAUGCCAGGAUCUCUUAGUGGAUUGAUAGUGGUGGUCUGGUUACAAAUUCAAGAACCUGGGGAAAAAAGCCUGAAAGCUUUGUUGUUGGCAAGCUUGUGGUCUUUAUGGAACCAGGUGCCACAGAUUUAUGCUAUGGAAGCUGAAAAUUCGAAGCUAAGGUCCAAAGGUUCCCAUGUUGAGCAUGCUACGAAUAACUUGACAAACACAUCUAACCAGGUUACAACAACUUCUAGUUCUCUUGACAUGGCAAUUUGACAUCAAGUAUGGUCAUUGUCAUCGAUACAAGAUUUUGCAAGUUAUGAAUGCUAGUCGAGAAUAUAUAUACAAGUGAGAAUUUGGGAACUGAUUUUAUUUUGAUAAUUUCUCUCUCCGGAAGAUGGAUAUCACUAUGACUUCUCAGAACUUAUGGUUGAAAUAAUUUUCUUUUAAUUUUUUUUUGCUUUAACUUUGUUAGUGUGGUAGAAUAUUUUAUAAUUUUGGCAAGGGAUUUUUAUUGCAAUAUAAAUAAAUUUAUA